CCUACGGGAGGCAGCAGUGAGGAAUAUUGGUCAAUGGACGAGAGUCUGAACCAGCCAAGUAGCGUGAAGGAUGACUGCCCUAUGGGUUGUAAACUUCUUUUAUAUGGGAAUAAAACGUUCCACGUGUGGGAUUUUGUAUGUACCAUAUGAAUAAGGAUCGGCUAACUCCGUGCCAGCAGCCGCGGUAAUACGGAGGAUCCGAGCGUUAUCCGGAUUUAUUGGGUUUAAAGGGAGCGUAGGUGGAUUGUUAAGUCAGUUGUGAAAGUUUGCGGCUCAACCGUAAAAUUGCAGUUGAAACUGGCAGUCUUGAGUACAGUAGAGGUGGGCGGAAGUCGUGGUGUAGCGGUGAAAUGCUUAGAUAUCACGAAGAACUCCGAUUGCGAAGGCAGUUCACUGGACUGCAACUGACACUGAGGCUCGAAAGUGUGGGUAUCAAACAGGAGUAGAUCCCCAGUAGUC
rnacentral:rRNA from 1 species